rnacentral:lncRNA from 1 species
GAAAAACCAAGUAAAAACGGCCCAAAAUGAAAGUGAAAGGGUCGGGUCAGGCAGAAAACCAAUAGAGGAAAUUAGGCCCAAUACGAUCCAAAAGUUACAAAAUUGAAUAAUACCAUUUAAAACUAAUUAAGCAAUUUGAAACUUAAUUAAUACAUCCAAAAGACUCAAACCUCAAAACGUAAAGAGAGAAACAUGGUGGUGUUUCUUCAACCUUUUCCCAUUUUCAUUACCGUAAUUGACAGAAAAGAGUAGAAACAUGGUGAUGUCAAGGAUGUCGCCCCCACUAUAUUUGGGCCAGCAGCCUACCGAGCAUAUAUAGGUGCAUCUUUUCACCUCCAUCGACCAAUGGGGCUUUCUUACAAGUUUAUGGCAACACCACCAUUCGUCGCAACUCCUUUGCAGCUGCAAUCACCUCUGGGCGGAUCGGCUUCUCCUACUUCCAAGAGCCUAGAGGCGACCUCGUUGUUCCAACAAGAAGCGGCUUUACCAAUUUUGUGAAUUGCUAGAUAUGUAUUAGAUAUAACUUUGAUUCUCUGCGUGGGAAAUGUUUGAGAAAAUGACGUAAUGGAAUUUUUAUGUUUGGUUAGUGAUGAUAUAUGGGUAUUUUAAGAAGGGCGAUAUCGAGACGAGGGAUUUUUGAUCGGAUGAGCUUGAGGAACUUGAUUGUUUGGAAUUCGUUGAUUUCUGGUACAUGAUAAGGUUUGAGAAAUGAAGGUUUCUAUAUAUUUUUGUUUCCUCAUUUUAUAAUCUGGAACUUAUGUUAACGGCGUAAAGGAAGAGGUUAAGAUCUUUGAGCUCAAGAAAUAUGAUUUCUCUAUAAAAAUUGACCAAUUUUUUUGUGUAAGAAUCAUAUUUGUUAUUCUUCUCAACGGUAGUGGAGAAUUUUUUUGGUCCCUUUUUUUCGAAUAUUCUUGCAAAAUUCCAUUUCCUCAUUGGUUUCGAAUCAACAAUGUUUCAAAUAAUCUGUAUCUACAAUCAUAUUGCAGAGCAGUUCAAUUAUUAUUAUUAUUAUUAUUAUUUUGCCUGCUCUUUUCAAUUGCUUCGGUUUUAAGUUGAAUAACAGAUUGUCUUAGAGAUCCAAUUUGUGAUGCUUGUAGGUACAACUAAAAUCAAGAGUUUCAACACUUGGAUGCUUUUGUGGUGCCCAAGAGAUUGUUCAUGUAGAGGUAUACAAAAGUGUUUUCUAGUCUCCAUUUUAUUUGGGUUGGUAUUAUCGAUUUCACUCCUAAUUUUUAUUAUUAUUGCAGGAGCAGUUGAGCACAGUUGCUUGAAGUAGCAACGAUUAUUAUAGUAACCAAACAAGCAUCAAAAGCUAGUGACACACCUUUACACAUUAUAACCUUUAAUUCCUUUUAAAGUUGUAAUAUUUGAAUCGAACUUUACUCUUUUCAUCGGGAUAAUUGAACUCAAUAACACCAAUGCAGGAUGCUCUUUAUCUUUCUCAACAAAGAUUGCAUGUGUUGGUAAUGUAUAUAUGUCAUGCAUUUUGAAUAAGAACUUGGUUUUUAUGUUGGAUAUAAGCUUAUGUCAAUGUCUCCAAUUGUUCAUUGAAAUUUAAGAUGUCGAGUUUUGGACUUUUUGUCACUUUUUUUAGUAUUUG